rnacentral:rRNA from 1 species
AUUGAACGCUGGCGGCAUGCCUUACACAUGCAAGUCGAACGGUAACAGGUCUUCGGAUGCUGACGAGUGGCGAACGGGUGAGUAAUACAUCGGAACGUGCCUAGUAGUGGGGGAUAACUACUCGAAAGAGUGGCUAAUACCGCAUGAGAUCUACGGAGGAAAGCAGGGGAUCGCAAGACCUGGUGCUACUAGAGCGGCCGAUGGCAGAUUGGGUAGUUGGUGGGAUAAAAGCUUACCAAGCCGACGAUCUGUAGCUGGUCUGAGAGGACGAUCAGCCACACUGGGACUGAGACACGGCCCAGACUCCUACGGUAGGCAGCAGUGGGGAAUUUGGGACAAUGGGCGCAAGCCUGAUCCAGCCAUUCCGCGUGCAGGAUGAAGGCCUUCGGGUUGUAAACUGCUUUUGUACGGAGCGAAAAGGCUCUCUCUAAUACAGGGGGCUCAUGACGGUACCGUAAGAAUAAGCACCGGCUAACUACGUGCCAGCCGCCGCAGUAACAC